rnacentral:lncRNA from 1 species
AGUCUGCGAUAUGAAACUAUCACACAGCCCUCAUCUCUAGCACCACUCCUGAGAAAGAUUCAACCCUGUUUCGAGAACUUUCUUACCUCUGUCCCAAUUCACAGGUACUGCUUAGGGCAGAAGUAACAUACAGAGAAGAGAAGCCUGUCUGGUCUGUUGGUAGAAGGAGGUCCAGAGCACUGAAGACUGAUCUAGAAUCUGAGAGUGGUAGGAAGAACCCUGUGUGAUAAAAGGAAGAGAGAACACACUUGCGAUAUAAACCUGAAGGCAUCAGUUUGAUAGGAAGGCCUGAAAGUGGGCUCGAACAAUGGAGGCAUCGGUACUGAGCCCCACAUCCUGGGAGAAACGAAGGGCCUGGUUACGACAGAGUCGUAACUGGCAAACCCAGGUCCUGGAAGAGGAAGCAGCAGCAGCUCUUCAGGAUGCACUGGAUCCCGAGCCUUCUAGCCUGGAUGAUGUUUUCCAGGAAGGGAAUCCAAUCAAUAAGAUUGAGGACUGGCUGCAGGGCUGUGGGUAAGUGCUCAAAAGCAAAAAUGUGGCUGGCAGAUAGCUGUGAUGAUGGACCCAGUCCCUAUGAACUCAGAGACAAGGAAGACAUUUGGGACUUGGGUCAGUUGGUAGUCCAAGCUGUUGGACAAAUGAAACUUGAGGCUGAGAUGAUAUUCAGUAGGAAGGUUGAGAAUCCAGGAAAGAUCUGGGAUAGAGUUAAGAGAAAAUGAAACUCUGCAUCUACUUAGAAUCACAGGCAUGAGUGGUAGGCCCCUCCCAUUGGCUUUCCCCAUUACUACAGUUUUAUAUGAUAUGUC